rnacentral:tRNA from 1 species
GUCCCUGUAGCGCAGAGGAUAGCGCGUCGGACUUCUAAUCCGAAGGUCGCGGGUUCGAUCCCGCCAGGGAUG